ACCCGCUGAACUUAAGCAUAUCAAUAAGCGGAGGAAAAGAAACCAACAGGGAUUGCCCUAGUAACGGCGAGUGAAGCGGCAACAGCUCAAAUUUGAAAUCUGGCCCCUUCGGGGCUCGAGUUGUAAUUUGCAGAGGAUGCUUCGGUGUCGGCUCCGGUCUAAGUUCCUUGGAACAGGACGUCACAGAGGGUGAGAAUCCCGUACGUGACCGGCCGCCUUCGCCGUGUGAAGCUCCUUCGACGAGUCGAGUUGUUUGGGAAUGCAGCUCUAAAUGGGAGGUAAAUUUCUUCUAAAGCUAAAUACCGGCCAGAGACCGAUAGCGCACAAGUAGAGUGAUCGAAAGAUGAAAAGCACUUUGAAAAGAGAGUUAAAAAGUACGUGAAAUUGUUGAAAGGGAAGCGCUUGCAACCAGACUUGCCCGCGGAUGCUCAACCGGCCUUUUGGCCGGUGCACUCUUCCGCGGUCAGGCCAGCGUCGGUUUGGGCGGCCGGAUAAAGGCCCUGGGAACGUAGCUCCUCUCGGGGAGUGUUAUAGCCCAGGGUGCAAUGCGGCCAGCCCGGACCGAGGUCCGCGCUUCGGCUAGGACGCUGGCGUAAUGGUUGUAAGCGGCCCGUCUUGAAACACGG
rnacentral:rRNA from 1 species